rnacentral:lncRNA from 1 species
GGGGGGUUCACUCCAUAAACGCUUGUGGGACGAACACAUAUUAUCCCACAUAAUUAAAGUCGGUGUUCUUGGAAAGUCCAAAGAAACAUCAGAACUUAAUAACCACUUAUACUCCAUUAACUGAUGACAGUGGGACAUAAAACAUAAACAGUGCAAUAGUCCUCGGUUAUAACGUAAAUAAGUCCGUGUCAGUUACUGUCGUAGGCAUUUUGGAUAUGAUAUUUUUUAGGACAUUGAUGACCGCCAAAAAUGCUUACUCAGUGAAUGUCACUUGUGAGUCUGGUGUU